UCCAGAUCUCUCUCCAAUACUUCCAGAUUAUGAUUAACAAUUGCUAUUUGCUUAGGAGAGAGAUCUAAGAGCCAAAAAAGAACAAUGAAAAACUUCCUUGCAUCUCUUCAUCAUAUCUCUUCUUCCCGACUUCUCCUAAAGCUUGGGUUACGAGCUAAAUUAACUAUAUAGUUCGAGAUUUGAGGAAGAUGACCUAAAAACUUCGUCUCUUUUUCAAAUUAGAAACAUUGGUUGUUGCUAAAUCAAAAUAGCCUUCAGUUUGGGGAAUCUCAGUAGCUCCCAUCCAAGGUGCUGAUGUUUCAACAAACACUUAGAGCUUGUAAUCUUUAUGAUUGUGAACCUGAAGGUAUAUAUGAUUAAUUCCAGUUUGAAUAAGACGCAACGGUUGAAAUAAAGCUAGAGUUGUAUACGGUCAGCAAUCUAUAUUGUUUGUUUGCUUUUUCUUAUCAAUCAAAUGUUGUAAAAAAAUUAGUUUCUUAUUUUAGUUAAACUUUCAACAAACACGAAAGGGCUAUGGACAUUCCUCCAUAUCUGAGGCACUUUUAUAGUAUCUUUGUAAAUAUAAAUUUGCAUUCCUUACAACUUUGUAAUACAAAUAAUUAAUUUCAA